CUCGCGUCCCGGUUGCCUGGAUACCGAGCGCGUCCGUAGUGGCGGCUGGCGCUCGGGAACUGCAGGGUCUGGGGUGGUGUUGGAGUGGCAGUUGGUCCUAAUUUCUCCCGAAGCCCGCGGAGGAGCGGGUAAGAGCCCCGCAAAGCCGGCCCCAACCUCGGGAACGGGAUGGGAGGCGGCCCUGGCCGCAAGCCCCGCGCUGCUAGCGGCUCCACCGCUCCCUAGCCGACAGCUGCCCUUCUUCCUCGCAGCGUGCCGCGAUUCACCAGCCUGGUCCCUUCUGCGGAGAGCGAUGCCGCUUCCCAACACCAUGUUCUGCGCUCAGCAGAUCCACAUUCCCCCGGAGCUGCCGGACAUCCUGAAGCAAUUCACCAAGGCUGCCAUCCGCACCCAGCCGGCCGACCUGCUGCAGUGGUCCGCGGGCUAUUUUUCAGCUUUGUCGAGAGGAGAUCCACUUCCUGUAAAGGACAGAAUGGAAAUGCCCACGGCAACGCGGAAAACAGACACAGGCCUGACUCAAGGACUCCUGAAAGUUUUGCACAAGCAGUGUCACCACAAGCGGUAUGUGGAAUUAACAGAUCUUGAGCAGAAGUGGAAGAACUUGUGCCUGCCGAAGGAAAAAUUCAAAGCGCUCUUACAACUGGAUCCUUGUGAAAACAAAAUCAAGUGGAUAAACUUUUUAGCACUUGGAUGCAGCAUGCUUGGCGGGUCCUUGAACACUGCGCUGAAGCACCUGUGCGAGAUCCUCACGGACGACCCGGAGGGCGGGCCCGCUCGCAUCCCCUUCAAGACGUUUUCCUACGUCUACCGCUACUUGGCCAGAUUAGACUCAGACGUGUCUCCCUUGGAGACAGACUCCUACCUUGCCUCUCUAAAGGAAAGUGUGGUCUUGUCCUGGCUGAGCACAACCAGAAUCUGGAGAGAAGAAAGCCUCAUGAUACACAGGUCAGCCAUACUGGGCUCAGAGCAUGGCAGAGCAAGGAGAGGCUAAAGGAAUGCCCUAGACCAAGAAGUCUGAAAUAUCCAGCACACGGCCAUUCAAUGAAGACACGGUGGGGUCCAGCACGUGACCAUUUGACCAUUUGGGUGAAGACGCGGUGGGGGA
rnacentral:sRNA from 1 species